rnacentral:tRNA from 2 species
GGAGAGGUACUUAGUGGAUAGGCGUAAGAAAUUCUUAGGCUUUUAGGGUUCGAUUCCCUUCCUCUCCU